UACGUAGGGUGCAAGCGUUAAUCGGAAUUACUGGGCGUAAAGCGUGCGCAGGCGGUGAUGUAAGACAGAUGUGAAAUCCCCGGGCUCAACCUGGGAACUGCAUUUGUGACUGCAUCGCUAGAGUACGGCAGAGGGGGGAUGGAAUUCCGCGUGUAGCAGUGAGAUGCGUAGAUAUGCGGAGGAACACCGAUGGCGAAGGCAAUCCCCUGGGCCUGUACUGACGCUCAUGGCACGAAAGCGUGGGGAGCAAACAGG
rnacentral:rRNA from 1 species